ACUUCUUGUAUCUGAAUCCUUCCUCUGCAAUCCAUCCCUCCUUCUUCCUCUCCAAGUCACUCUCUCCUCUCGUCCCCGAUCUGGAUCCCCUUCUCCUCUCUUCCUUCCUGGGGUGUUACAUGGAGAGGAUGAAGUCCGACAAGAAUUGACCCGACCUGUCGGGCAGAAGCCACCGAAGAGGAUGACCUCCGUCAAGAAUUCAGCCGACCCGCCCCAGGUGGCCCUCUAGCCGGAUCCGCUCCUCCGGCAAGAACCCCUUCCCGAGCACGACCACGCUUCCCCGAGCAGGACGGCGAGCACGAGAUCAUCAGAGAGGAUGAACUCGGUCAAUUCAUCCAUCCGCAAGCUUCAGCGAGAUCGGCGGAGCUGCGUUCGGAAAGAGCUCAACCAGAUGCAAGCCCGGCGAGCUCCGGCGAGGUGCAUGAGUGAGGUCGGCUGGCUUCAAAAUCCGUCAAGGUUGGUGCAAGAAGAGGACGGGGAGCUCCGGCAAGGUUAGUGCGAGGAGGUUCCUCCAGCAAGAUGUGCAUAGCCACCAGUCCUUCGUGCCCAGCACCUCCGCUGGACUGGCUUCCCCACCCAGACGAAGAGGGCGCCGGGGCGGAGCAAUCGGUUCACCUCGAGCAGCAGCAGCUUGCCUCCCUGGAUGUGGCACGGCACCGCGUGUAGUGCGCGAGCAUGAACUGCAGAGAUGGUCGGAGUUAUAUUGAUCAGUAGUUUCUACA